GAUGAACGCUGGCGGCGUGCCUAAUACAUGCAAGUCGAGCGAACAGACGAGGAGCUUGCUCCUCUGACGUUAGCGGCGGACGGGUGAGUAACACGUGGAUAACCUACCUAUAAGACUGGGAUAACUUCGGGAAACCGGAGCUAAUACCGGAUAAUAUAUUGAACCGCAUGGUUCAAUAGUGAAAGACGGUUUUGCUGUCACUUAUAGAUGGAUCCGCGCCGCAUUAGCUAGUUGGUAAGGUAACGGCUUACCAAGGCAACGAUGCGUAGCCGACCUGAGAGGGUGAUCGGCAACACUGGAACUGAGACACGGUCCAGACUCCUACGGGAGGCAGCAGUAGGGAAUCUUCCGCAAUGGGCGAAAGCCUGACGGAGCAACGCCGCGUGAGUGAUGAAGGUCUUCGGAUCGUAAAACUCUGUUAUUAGGGAAGAACAAAUGUGUAAGUAACUCUGCACGUCUUGACGGUACCUAAUCAGAAAGCCACGGCUAACUACGUG
rnacentral:rRNA from 1 species